AACGAACGCUGGCGGCAUGCCUAACACAUGCAAGUCGAACGAUCCCUUCGGGGAUGGUGGCGCACGGGUGCGUAACGCGUGGGAACCUGCCCUUAGGUUCGGAAUAACUCCCCGAAAGGGGUGCUAAUACCGGAUAAUGUCUUCGGACCAAAGAUUUAUCGCCUUUGGAUGGGCCCGCGUUGGAUUAGCUUGUUGGUGGGGUAAUGGCCUACCAAGGCGACGCUCCAUAACUGGUCUUAGAGGAUGAUCAGCCACACUGGGACUAAGACACGGCCCAGACUCCUACGGGAGGCAGCAGUGGGGAAUAUUGGACAAUGGGCGAAAGCCUGAUCCAGCAAUGCCGCGGGAGUGAUGAAGGCCCUAGGGUUGUAAAGCUCUUUUACCAGGGAUGAUAAUGACAGUACCUGGAGAAUAAGCUCCGGCUAACUCCGUGCCAGCCGCCGCAGUAAAAC
rnacentral:rRNA from 1 species